UACGGAGGGUGCAAACGUUGCUCGGAAUCAUUGGGCGUAAAGCGCACGUAGGUGGCUUGUUAAGUCGGGUGUGAAAUCCCUGGGCUCAACCCAGGAAGUGCACUCGAAACUGGCGAGCUUGAGUACUGAAGAGGGUCGCGGAAUUCCCGGUGUAGAGGUGAAAUUCGUAGAUAUUGGGAAGAACACCGGUGGCGAAGGCGGCGACCUGGUCCUUGACUGACGCUGAGGCGCGAAAGCGUGGGGAGCAAACAGG
rnacentral:rRNA from 1 species